CUCUUUGUCUGGAGGUUACGUCCAUACAGAUGACAACAAGUAAAAGGAAUGUUGGUAGUUAUAUGAUCAGCGAUUGCA
rnacentral:rRNA from 1 species